GGGGAUGCAAGGCAUCGACGAGGAAAUUGCACUUUUACAAACGGCGAGAGAGGUAUCUAUACCUUGACCCUCGUAGCCCGCAAGGGCGAAGUGGGUCGUCAAAUAGAAAAAAGAUAACUGCUAAUUCAUUUAAUAUGAAAAAAGCAAUGCAACCUUUAGCCGACGUUUUUGAGGAAAUGCAGGCAGCAAUGUUUGCACCUUCAAAAUAUGCGUUCGCAAUGAAUGCAUAAGUUUGCAAAAGGUUUGCUAACCUCUUUGUAGUUUCUCCUGGUUCAACUAUAAAAGAGGGUUAAACCAACCGGGAUAGAGCAAACUGGCUUUUUCAGUCAGCCGGGGAGUUCGAAUAAACCCUUAAACUGACAGUUCGAAAACGUCUAUGUGUUCUACGUUUCGGACUGGAGUAAAGACACUUUAUCUCUCGCUAAACGUUUAUAAGGGUGUUUCCCCGGACCCGGGUCCAAUUCCCGGCAUCUCCACAC
rnacentral:tmRNA from 7 species